AUUACCGAGUUGCAAAACUCCCAAACCCAUUGUGAACCUCUACCACUGUUGCUUCGGCGGAACCGCCCCGGGCGCACCUCCUCACGGGGGCGUGCCCCGGAACCAGGCGCCCGCCGGGGGACCGAAACCUCUGUAUUUUCCAUUUGAGUACUCUGAGUGUGAUUUACAAAAUCAAAAUUAAAACUUUCAACAACGGAUCUCUUGGCUCUAGCAUCGAUGAAGAACGCAGCGAAAUGCGAUAAGUAAUGCGAAUUGCAGAAUUCAGUGAAUCAUCGAAUCUUUGAACGCACAUUGCGCCCGCCAGUAUUCUGGCGGGCAUGCCUGUCUGAGCGUCGUUUCGACCCUCGCGCCCGGCUUCUGUCGGGGGCGGUGUUGGGGAUCGGCCACACCCCUUAGCGGGAGGCCGGCCCCUAAAUUCAGUGGCGACCACGCUGUAGCCUCCCCUGCGUAGUACUCAUACCACCUCGCAGGCGGAGAGCGGUGCGGCCCGCCGUAAAACCCCCAACUUUUACAAGGUCGACCUCAGAUCAGGUAGGAAUACCCGCUGAACUUAAGCAUAUCAAUAAGCGGAGGAAAAGAAACCAACAGGGAUUGCCUCAGUAACGGCGAGUGAAGCGGCAACAGCUCAAAUUUGAAAUCUGGCCUCUGGCCCGAGUUGUAAUUUGCAGAGGAUGUUUCUGGCGAGGUGCCUUCCGAGUUCCCUGGAACGGGACGCCAUAGAGGGUGAGAGCCCCGUACGGUUGGUCGCUAAGCCUCUGUGAAACUCCUUCGACGAGUCGAGUAGUUUGGGAAUGCUGCUCUAAAUGGGAGGUGUACGCCUUCUUAAGCUAAAUACCGGCUAGAGACCGAUAGCGCACAAGUAGAGUGAUCGAAAGAUGAAAAGCACUUUGAAAAGAGAGUUAAAAAGCACGUGAAAUUGUUGAAAGGGAAGCGCUCUUGACCAGACUUGCGCCGGUUGAUCAUCCACCGUUCUCGGUGGUGCACUCUGCCGGCUCAGGCCAGCAUCAGUUCGGCCCGGGGGAUAAAGGCUUCGGGAAUGUGGCUCUCUCCGGGGAGUGUUAUAGCCCGUUGCGUAAUACCCUGGGCUGGACUGA
rnacentral:rRNA from 1 species